rnacentral:tRNA from 1 species
GGGGUUGUGGCUCAGUGGUAGAGUGCUUGCCUUGUAUGUGGGACGCACUGGGUUCAAUCCUCAGCACCCACA